rnacentral:tRNA from 1 species
GGUCGGUUAGCUCAGUUGGAUAGAGCGUGGUACUAAUAAUGCCGAGGCCGGGAGUUCAAGCCUCCCACUGAUCA